rnacentral:rRNA from 1 species
AUUGAACGCUGGCGGCAGGCCUAACACAUGCUAGUCGAGCGAGCGGCGGACGGGUGAGUAAUGUAUGGGGACUGCCCGAUAGAGGGGGAUAACUACUGGAAACGGUGGCUAAUACCGCAUACUAUCGGAUUACCCAUAUUGGAUUAGCUAUUAGGUGGGGUAAAGGCUCACCUAGGCGACGAUCCCUAGCUGGUCUGAGAGGAUGAUCAGCCACACUGGGACUGAGACACGGCCCAGACUCCUACGGAGGCAGCAGUGGGGAAUAGUGCACAAUGGGCGCAAGCCUGAUGCAGCCAUGCCGCGUGUAUGAAGAAGGCCUUCGGGUUGUAAAGUACUUUCAGUCGGGAGGCGUUACCGACAGAAGAAGCACCGGCUAACUCCGUGCCAGCCGCCGCGGUAAUUC